UACGUAGGGGGCUAGCGUUAUCCGGAUUUAUUGGGCGUAAAGAGCGUGUAGGCGGCCAUGUAGGUCCGUUGUGGAAACUCGAGGCUCAACCUCGAGACGCCGAUGGAAACCAUGUGGCUAGAGUCCGGAAGAGGAGAGUGGAAUUCCUGGUGUAGCGGUGAAAUGCGCAGAUAUCAGGAAGAACACCCGUGGCUAAGGCGGCUCUCUAGUACGGUACUGACGCUGAGACGCGAAAGCGUGGGGAGCGAACAGG
rnacentral:rRNA from 1 species